GACGACGACUUUAGCUAUAAACAAUUAAAAACACAAUAUAAUUAAUUUAUUCAUUUACUCUAUAACAAUUUAACAACAUGGAACCGGACAUGGCUUAGGAUGAUCUGGAUUUGGAUAGAUACAAACGCAUCCCUUGUCUGGAAAACAUUCUCCAGUCGUCAAAUGGUUAGAAUGAAAAAACACGCAAACAUUAUAACAUGCCUCAUUUGGGUUAUUUGGAUUUCUUGGAGGGGAUGGACAAUAUUGUUUCCCUGCAUAACCUACGCAUGUUAUCACGUUUCCCUCUGUUACCUGCAUUUGGUUAUUACCUACAAACAUUCAGACAUAAAAUACAGUCAUUAGCUAAGAAACUAAAAUCAUAUAGCAAUUGCUAAAAACAAAAUAUGUUAUAACUAAAAAAUCAUACAAUGUUUUGGUAAAUAAUUUUUUGAAAAAUAUAUAAAAUUUAAAUUUUUAAUGCAUUUGUUAUACGUGUAUUAAAAUAAAAAAUUUAAGAACUUAUGUUAAGAAUAAUCUUAAUGUAUGCGUUUAGAUUCUAUUUUAUUUUUAUUCUGAAAGAAAAAUAUAGAGAAAGAAAUAGAAAUACAAGAACAAGAAUAUUUUAAAUGAACGAUAUGGACAAAAAUUAAAAAGAAAAAUAUUUUAUCCAAGAAUAAAAAAAAUGAAAGCAAAAUUUAUUUUUAAAUUUUUUCUGUCUUUAUAUCUUUAUUUUUAUCAAAUAAAAUAGAGAGAUGCUUUUUUUUUUCUAUCUCCAUCUCAAAUAUCUUUUUCUCCUAUCUUAGGACAGCAUCUACACAGAAUAUCUUAGGACAGCAUCUACACAGAAUCUCAUAGUAUGUUAUCUAAACAAUAUAUUGAAUUGUUUUAAUAAAUUUGGUGCAUACCAAAGCCUAUGAAAAUAAUUAGUAAGAAGACGAGGAAAUAAAAAUAUAUUUUCAUAUCAGUGGGUUUGAAAAUUUAAUUCAUACAGU
rnacentral:lncRNA from 1 species